rnacentral:rRNA from 1 species
GAUGAACGCUGGCGGCGUGCCUAAUACAUGCAAGUCGAGCGAACGGACGAGAAGCUUGCUUCUCUGAUGUUAGCGGCGGACGGGUGAGUAACACGUGGAUAACCUACCUAUAAGACUGGGAUAACUUCGGGAAACCGGAGCUAAUACCGGAUAAUAUUUUGAACCGCAUGGUUCAAAAGUGAAAGACGGUCUUGCUGUCACUUAUAGAUGGAUCCGCGCUGCAUUAGCUAGUUGGUAAGGUAACGGCUUACCAAGGCAACGAUGCAUAGCCGACCUGAGAGGGUGAUCGGCCACACUGGAACUGAGACACGGUCCAGACUCCUACGGGAGGCAGCAGUAGGGAAUCUUCCGCAAUGGGCGAAAGCCUGACGGAGCAACGCCGCGUGAGUGAUGAAGGUCUUCGGAUCGUAAAACUCUGUUAUUAGGGAAGAACAUAUGUGUAAGUAACUGUGCGCAUCUUGACGGUACCUAAUCAGAAAGCCACGGCUAACUACGUGCCAGCAGCCGCGGUAAUACGUAGGUGGCAAGCGUUAUCCGGAAUUAUUGGGCGUAAAGCGCGCGUAGGCGGUUUUUUAAGUCUGAUGUGAAAGCCCACGGCGUCACCCGUGGAGGGUCAUUGGAAACUGGAAAACUUGAGUGCAGAAGAGGAAAGUGGAAUUCCAUGUGUAGCGGUGAAAUGCGCAGAGAUAUGGAGGAACACCAGUGGCGAAGGCGACUUUCUGGUCUGUAACUGACGCUGAUGUGCGAAAGCGUGGGGAUCAAACAGGAUUAGAUACCCUGGUAGUCCACGCCGUAAACGAUGAGUGCUAAGUGUUAGGGGGUUUCCGCCCCUUAGUGCUGCAGCUAACGCAUUAAGCACUCCGCCUGGGGAGUACGACCGCAAGGUUGAAACUCAAAGGAAUUGACGGGGACCCGCACAAGCGGUGGAGCAUGUGGUUUAAUUCGAAGCAACGCGAAGAACCUUACCAAAUCUUGACAUCCUUUGACAACUCUAGAGAUAGAGCUUUCCCCUUCGGGGGACAAAGUGACAGGUGGUGCAUGGUUGUCGUCAGCUCGUGUCGUGAGAUGUUGGGUUAAGUCCCGCAACGAGCGCAACCCUUAAGCUUAGUUGCCAUCAUUAAGUUGGGCACUCUAAGUUGACUGCCGGUGACAAACCGGAGGAAGGUGGGGAUGACGUCAAAUCAUCAUGCCCCUUAUGAUUUGGGCUACACACGUGCUACAAUGGACAAUACAAAGGGCAGCGAAACCGCGAGGUCAAGCAAAUCCCAUAAAGUUGUUCUCAGUUCGGAUUGUAGUCUGCAACUCGACUACAUGAAGCUGGAAUCGCUAGUAAUCGUAGAUCAGCAUGCUACGGUGAAUACGUUCCCGGGUCU